UUUUUGCGCAGAAACAACCAUGCAAAAUAUAUGGAGAAGACCUCAUUGCAUACGAGUAUUUCGCUGAAAAAGCAAAUUCUGUGAAAUCUUUAACACUUUGGGCUGCAUAGUCGUAGUUAAAGUCAACUCUGUUAAUAAGAAACAGCAUAGAUAUAUCUAAGUACACCAAGUUUUCAAGCAAAAAAUAUAGGUUACAUUGCCAAGAAAUCAAAUAUAUUUACAAGAGAAGACUUACCAAAAUUUUUAACAGAAGCCCGUGAUUAAAUGUACCCGAUGUUAAAGGUUUAUUUUUUAUUAGAAGUUGUAGGAGCAUGUGGAAUGGAUAAAUUGAAAAAUAAUGACGGCAUUCAAGACAAAAA